GAAAGGUUGAUGCCUAAUACGUAUCAACUGUGACGUUACUCGCAGAAGAAGCACCGGCUAACUCCGUGCCAGCAGCCGCGGUAAUACGGAGGGUGCAAGCGUUAAUCGGUAUUACUGGGCGUAAAGCGCACGCAGGCGGUUGGAUAAGUUAGAAGUGAAAGCCCCGGGCUCAACCUGGGAAUUGCAUUUAAAACUGUCCAGCUAGAGUCUUGUAGAGGGGGGUAGAAUUCCAGGUGUAGCGGUGAAAUGCGUAGAGAUCUGGAGGAAUACCGGUGGCGAAGGCGGCCCCCUGGACAAAGACUGACGCUCAGGUGCGAAAGCGUGGGGAGCAAACAGGUUUAGAUACCCUGGUAGUCCACGCCGUAAACGAUGUCGAUUUGGAGGCUGUGUCCUUGAGACGUGGCUUCCGGAGCUAACGCGUUAAAUCGACCGCCUGGGGAGUACGGCCGCAAGGUUAAAACUCAAAUGAAUUGACGGGGGCGCGCACAAGCGGUGGAGCAUGUGGUUUAAUUCGAUGCAACGCGAAGAACCUUACCUCGCCUUGACAUGUCUGGAAUCCUGCAGAGAUGCGGGAGUGCCUUCGGGAAUCAGAACACAGGUGCUGCAUGGCUGUCGUCAGCUCGUCUCGUGAGAUGUUGGGUUAAGUCCCGCAACGAGCGCAACCCGUGUCCUUUGUUGCCAGCACG
rnacentral:rRNA from 1 species